rnacentral:rRNA from 1 species
GACGAACGCUGGCGGCGUGCUUAACACAUGCAAGUCGAACGGAAAGGCCCUGCUUUUGUGGGGUGCUCGAGUGGCGAACGGGUGAGUAACACGUGAGUAACCUGCCCUUGACUUUGGGAUAACUUCAGGAAACUGGGGCUAAUACCGGAUAGGAGCUCCUGCUGCAUGGUGGGGGUUGGAAAGUUUCGGCGGUUGGGGAUGGACUCGCGGCUUACCAGCUUGUUGGUGGGGAAGUGGCUUACCAAGGCUUUGACGGGUAGCCGGCCUGAGAGGGUGACCGGCCACAUUGGGACUGAGAUACGGCCCAGACUCCUACGGGAGGCAGCAGUGGGGAAUAUUGCACAAUGGGUGGAAGCCUGAUGCAGCAACGCCGCGUGCGGGAUGACGGCCUUCGGGUUGUAAACCGCUUUCGCCUGUGACGAAGCGUGAGUGACGGUAAUGGGUAAAGAAGCACCGGCUAACUACGUG